UACGUAGGUGGCGAGCGUUUGUCCGGAUUUACUGGGCGUAAAGAGCGCGCAGGCGGUCGUUCAAGUCGCGUGUGAAAGCCCCCCGGCUCAACUGGGGAGGGUCACGCGAUACUGAUCGACUCGAAGGCAGGAGAGGGAAGUGGAAUUCCCGGUGUAGUGGUGAAAUGCGUAGAUAUCGGGAGGAACACCAAAGGCGAAGGCAGUGUCCUGGGGGAGUACCUGACGCUCAGGUGCGAAAGCCAGGGGAGCGAACGGG
rnacentral:rRNA from 1 species